GCGGCUCAGAGUUGAUGGCACACACUAACACUAAAAGACAUCGCAGCAAGCCAACCCAACCAAGCCGUCUUGCCACGCCCUAUCAGCAGGGAGCAAUGGACUUGACCUAACACCCACUGAGCCCUUAAUGCGACCCUCCAUCCACCACCGCCACCAUGACCAUCAGCUGAGGACGAUGUGAAUGCUGUCAUCCACCUUGAAGAAACAGAGACUUAAAGGCGCUGACGAAGAAAGGCCGGGCGUCGUCACUUCCGCUGCACCGCCGUCUCCAGGAUGCACAACGCUCGCUCCUGAAGAAGUCUCGUGUAUGGUGACACUGAGGCUGAGCUGAUAGAUACCGACGAAGACUAAGACUAAAGCAGCUUCGAAUGGCGGCGAUGACUGUUCAGGGCUGCCGAAGAGGACGCAAGCAACUUCGAACGGGUGUUUAGUAGUGGCUGCCGACGAGGACGAAGACUCAAAUUGCAUGCUUCAAGUGGUGGCGGUCACUGGUCAGGGCUGCCGAAGAGGACGCAAGCAGCUUCGAAUGGGUGGUUACUGGUGGUUGUCAACGAAGACGAAGACUCAGGCAGCUUCUAGUGGUGGCGGUCAGUGGUCAGGGGUUGCUUCAUAUCCUAGCGCGGGGCUGAGUGUCGCAGCGGCAGGACAGAUCACCUUGAAGCCUGCCGACCUGUGAGAAAUGGAGGCGCCGGCAUAAAGGGGGGAGUCAGACGCUGUGUGUGCUGCUGCCGCCCUGCGUGUGUGUGUGUGUGUGUAUGUCCGAGGCAGGUGUUCUCAGAUUCUAGAGGCCUCCACCACACCGGUACUGAUGAGAUUAUUUGUCCCUGUGUUAAGGAAAAGGAAGAAAAGAGUAGAACAAAAGCCUUCUGGGACAAAAAAAAUAAUAGAACAAGAAACUCUUAGACAAAAAAUAAAUCGAGGACUUAUU